GACGAACGCUGGCGGCGUGCUUAACACAUGCAAGUCGAACGGAAAGGCCCUGCUUUUGUGGGGUGCUCGAGUGGCGAACGGGUGAGUAACACGUGAGUAACCUGCCCUUGACUUUGGGAUAACUUCAGGAAACUGGGGCUAAUACCGGAUAGGAGCUCCUGCUGCAUGGUGGGGGUUGGAAAGUUUCGGCGGGUGGGGAUGGACUCGCGGCUUAUCAGCUUGUUGGUGGGGUAGUGGCUUACCAAGGCUUUGACGGGUAGCCGGCCUGAGAGGGUGACCGGCCACAUUGGAACUGAGGUACGGACCGGACUCCUACGGGAGGCAGCAGUGGGGAAUAUUGCACAAUGGGCGGAAGCCUGAUGCAGCAACGCCGCGUGCGGGGUAACGGCCUUCGGGUUGUAAACCGCUUUCGCCUGUGACGAAGCGUGAGUGACGGUAAUGGGUGAAGAAGCACCGGCUAACUACGUG
rnacentral:rRNA from 1 species